rnacentral:rRNA from 1 species
GGCUCAUUAAAUCAGUUAUCGUAUAUUUGAUAGUACCUACUACAUGGAUAACCGUGGUAAUUCUAGAGCUAAUACAUGCUUAAAAUCCCGACUUCGGAAGGGAUGUAUUUAUUAGAUUAAAAACCAAUGCCCUUCGGGGCUCACUGGUGAUUCAUAAUAACUUCUCGAAUCGCAUGGCCUUGUGCCGGCGAUGGUUCAUUCAAAUUUCUGCCCUAUCAACUUUCGACGGCUGGGUCUUGGCCAGCCGUGGUUACAACGGGUAACGGAGGGUUAGGGCUUGACCCCGGAGAAGGAGCCUGAGAAACGGCUACUACAUCCAAGGAAGGCAGCAGGCGCGCAAAUUACCCAAUCCCGACACGGGGAGGUAGUGACAAUAAAUACUGAUACAGGGCUCUUUUGGGUCUUGUAAUUGGAAUGAGUACAAUUUAAAUCCCUUAACGAGGAACAAUUGGAGGGCAAGUCUGGUGCCAGCAGCCGCGGUAAUUCCAGCUCCAAUAGCGUAUAUUAAAGUUGUUGCAGUUAAAAAGCUCGUAGUUGAACCUUGGGCCUGGCUGGCCGGUCUGCCUCACCGCAUGCACUGGUCCGGCCGGGCCUUUCCCUCUGGGGAUCCGCAUGCCCUUCACUGGGUGUGUCGGGGAACCAGGACUUUUACUGUGAAAAAAUUAGAGUGUUCAAAGCAGGCCUAUGCUCGAAUACAUUAGCAUGGAAUAAUAGAAUAGGACGUUGCGGUUCUAUUUUGUUGGUUUCUAGGACCGCCGUAAUGAUUAAUAGGGACAGUCGGGGGCGUCAGUAUUCAAUCGUCAGAGGUGAAAUUCUUGGAUCGAUUGAAGACUAACUACUGCGAAAGCAUUCGCCAAGGAUGUUUUCAUUAAUCAGGAACGAAAGUUAGGGGAUCGAAAACGAUCAGAUACCGUUGUAGUCUUAACCAUAAACUAUGCCGACUAGGGAUCGGGCGAUGUUAUUUC